UAGGGAAUCUUCCGCAAUGGGCGAAAGCCUGACGGAGCAACGCCGCGUGAGUGAUGAAGGUCUUCGGAGCGUAAAACUCUGUUAUUAGGGAAGAACAAAUGUGUAAGUAACUAUGCACGUCUUGACGGUGCCUAAUCAGAAAGCCACGGCUAACUACGUGCCAGCAGCCGCGGUAAUACGUAGGUGGCAAGCGUUAUCCGUAAUUAUUGGGCGUAAAGCGCGCGUAGGCGGUUUUUUAAGUCCGAUGUGAAAGCCUACGGCUCAACCGUGGAGGAUCAUUGGAAACUGGAAAACUUAAGUGCAGAAGAGGAAAGUGAAAUUCCAUGUGUGGCGGUGAAAUGCGCAGUGAUAUGGAGGACCACCAGUGGCGAAGGCGACUUUCUGGUCUGUAACUGACGCUAAUGUGCAAAAGCGGGGGGAUCAAACAGG
rnacentral:rRNA from 1 species